rnacentral:rRNA from 1 species
AGAAUCAACGCUGGCGGCGUGCCUAACACAUGCAAGUCGAACGAGAAAGUGGAGCAAUCCAUGAGUAAAGUGGCGCACGGGUGAGUAACACGUGACUAACCUACCCUUGAGUGGGGGAUAACCUAGAGAAAUCUGGGCUAAUACCGCAUAAUACCUUCGGGUCAAAGGAGCAAUUCGCUUAAGGAGGGGGUCGCGGCCGAUUAGUUAGUUGGCGGGGUAAUGGCCCACCAAGACUGUGAUCGGUAUCCGGCCUGAGAGGGCGCACGGACACACUGGAACUGAAACACGGUCCAGACUCCUACGGGAGGCAGCAGUGGGGAAUUUGCGCAAUGGGGGAAACCCUGACGCAGCAACGCCGCGUGGAGGAUGAAGUCCCUUGGGACGUAAACUCCUUUCGAUCGGGACGAUUAUGACGGUACCGGAAGAAGAAGCCCCGGCUAACUUCGUGCCAGCAGCCGC